rnacentral:rRNA from 1 species
UACGUAGGUGGCAAGCGUUGUCCGGAUUUAUUGGGUUUAAAGGGUGCGUAGGCGGUCCCUUAAGUCAGUGCUGAAAUACUCUAGCUUAACUAGAGGGGUGGCAUUGAUACUGGGGGACUUGAAUGAAGUCGAGGUAGGCGGAAUUGACGGUGUAGCGGUGAAAUGCUUAGAUAUCGUCAAGAACACCGAUAGUGAAGACAGCUUACUAGGCUUAAAUUGACGCUGAGGCACGAAAGUGUGGGGAUCAAACAGG